rnacentral:lncRNA from 1 species
GAGAGUUUAUUCUGGCUUUGAGGUCCGGCUCUUGAGUUCUCUCUUCUCUGUGAAGAACUCCUUCUUCUUCGUGAAUUGGGAUCCAAAAAUCUUAGUGUUCCAAUACGUAAAUGUUGUGAAAACCUUUGUUAUACUAUAGAUACUUGUAGUUGUGUGUUGUUCUAUGUUGGAGUUGUAUGAAUCUGUGACAUUCGAUGAGAGAAGUGCUGGGUUUUUCAUAGAUCUGUGUGAUCUGGAGCUGAUUCCUUAGUGGAUAGUGGUCGGGCUUGUGAUUUCUCUUAAAGAUAAGUCUCGUGAUUGGUCUUUGUAAUUUCUGGAACGAUAUUGUAUAUUCUUGCAAUUAGUUUUUUGGCUUUACAGUGCAAUGUUCAACGGGGAAUUAGGUGUUAGAAGUGAUCGUUGAGCCUCUGGGGCUUAUGUUAAAAAAACCUCUGUGUUGAUUUUUUCGUCUCUGCAUUAUUCUUUACUACCUUUGCAUUUGUGGUUUUAUGAAUCUUAGUUAAUUCCUUAAAUGCUCCUCAACUUUUUAGUGGUAUCAGAGCAAUCUUGGAUUGCUGGCGUGUCUCUGAUUUCUAUAAGUUGACUAGAUUUUGAAACCUGUCUUAAGUUGCAGUUAACAUUGGCUGGUGGAAAUUGAGUUUUAUCAAACUCAUUGGUGAGAUCUUUCCUGCAUUCUGAAUUAGUUUUUACAGUAGGGUCACCUAAUUUUUCCUUUGAUUUACCUUGCACUAAGAAACCCUACUGUGGCUGGUCUUUGUUCAGAGACUCAAGAAGUUUUGGGAAUCUGAGAUAACAACACCAGUAGGAGUGCAAUUGGAAGGUCUUUCUAGAGAAGUUAGUUGAGGCAUAGGAAUUGAUAUCUUUAUUCUUUGUGAUUCCACCUCUUAUACUUAUUGUUAAGUAAUUACUAUUUUGAGAAAAUUGUAUAAGUGCAUUGGUCAUUGGCCCCUAAUCCCCUUGUCUGCCUGCAGUACUUUUAUUGUAUGUCCCUGUGUGUUCUUGAAAUCAAACUUGUGCACUGUGUAUUAUCUUGAUGUAUUUUGACAUGGCUACUACUAAGUUUGAAGUAAACAUGUAUGAUGGGAGGGGGGAUUUUAAUAUGUGGAGCCAAAAAAUGAAGGCUAUCUUGAUGCAAAUGAAAUAUGUUAAAGCCUUAGAUAAUUCUUGAUUUGCCGAAGUGUCUCUUGCUAAAAGAACUGAGUUAGAAGAAAUAGCAUGAAGUACUAUUUUUUUUGUACCUUUCAGACAAUGUGAUCAGGUGUAUAGGUGAAACUAAAACUGCUGAAAAGUUGUGGACCAAAUUGAAAGCUCAAUAUGAGCCAAAAACUACUCCAAACAAAUGUUUUUUGCUAAUACAAUUCUUUUCUUUCAAAAUGGACCAUUUGAUUGACUUGGAUGAAAACUUGGACAAAUUUACAAAAUUGACCAAGGAACUUGCCAACUGUGAUGAGAAAUUAUCAGAAGAUCAACUGGCUGUAAUCUUGUUAAACUCCAUUAGUGAUAGACAUAGAAACCUAAAGAAUGUCUUAGAACAUGAAAGAUAUAGCUUACCACAUAUAUCAUCAUAAAUGCCUUAAGAAAUAGGGUUCUUGAAUUAAAAUCAAAUUCUAUCAACCAUCAAAGUGGAGAAAAUCUUUUGAUAAAAGGUAAAAUUGUCGGUAAAUCUAAUUUUCAUUCAAAAUUUUCAAAUGACCCUAAGAAAAGAAAUAAUGACAAAAUGAAAUCCAAACCUAAGGUAAAAUGAAAGAAAUGUUAUUAUUGUGGUAAGUUGAGUCACUUUGCAAAAUAUUAUUGCAAAAAGCAAAAUGAUUUAAAAGGAAAGAAGUUAAACGAGGGUAAUGUCGUUAUGUCCUUGAUAAGCAACAAUUUGAUAAUGGUCCGGUUCUUGUAAAUGUUGAAAGGAGCCUGAAUUAAGAAUGAAUUUUUGAUUCAGGUUCCUCUUUCCACAUGUGCCCUAAUAAAAACUAUUUUUUGGAUUUUGAACAAGUAAAAGGAGGUCAAAUUAUCAUGGGAAACAACAUGACUUACAAAAUGAACAAUAUUGGAAUAAUAAAAUUAAUUUUGGAAAAUGGCAGAAUUUUAUUAUUAAAAGGUGCCAGAUUUACUCCUGAAUUAGAAAGAAACUUUGUGUCUCUAGAAAUGUUGGAUGACAUGUAAUUUGACAUAAAAUUGGGUUAAUGACACAUUAAAUCUUUAGGGCAUCUCUAAUGGUUGCACCAUUGCACCAUUUUUUUGUGCAAAAUUGCUCCAAUGUAACACUAAACUUUGCAUCAUUUUGGUGUAAAAUGGUAUAAAGUGAAUAGUAUUGUACCAUAUUUGGUGCAACACUAUUCAUUACACCAUUUUUUGCACCAAAUGGUGCAAUGUCCAUUUUGUCCUUAUUUUUCAUUUUUCAAUAUGCUACUUAAGGGUAUUUGUAUCAUUUUCAUUCUAUAAUGAUAAUAAUAAUAAUAAUAAUAAUUAAUUACAAAUAAUAUAAUCAAUAAUAAUUAACGUAAUUCUUAAUUUAACGUAAAGUUUAAUUCAUAAAGUUUACGUUUAAAGUUUAAUUUAACGUAAAGUUUAGAUUAUUAAAGUUUAUUAUUUUUGUAAAUUUAACGCAAUUGUUUAUCAUAAAUUAAUAAUAUAAUCAAUUAUUUUGUUCAAUUUAACGUAAUAUAUAAAACACGUGAAUAAUUUAGUAAUCAAUAUAUUUGUUAAUUUAACGAAGUUAUGAUUUAGUAAUUUAUAUAGUUAUAAAAUAAAUAAAUAAAUAAAUAAUUUUUUUAAAUAAAUACAUUGUCAAAAAUCUAAAAAAUGAAUAAAAUAAUAAAUCACUAUUCAUUUUGUGUAAGUUUUGGUGUAAUGGUUAGAAAAGAAUUUUGGUUUGGUGUAAAUUUUGGUGCAACGUUGGAGAUGACGUUAGGGGUAGUGAUUUGAUCACUUUUAUCCCAAAGAGACGUGGCUUAUACUUUCUAAAUGCAAAACUUUUAUUGGGUCUAUCAGCAGUAAUUUUAGAUGAUGAAUUUAAUCUCGCAAAAUUAUGACAUUGUAAACUUGGUCACAUUGGGUUGAAAGGUUUAUAGGUUUUACAAAAUAAAGGAGUAUUGGAAAAUCAAAUAUAGGUGAAUUGUCUAAAUGUGAACAAUGUUCGAUUAGAAAGCAAAUUAAGUUACAUUUUCGCACUAGUAAUCAUAAAUCAAGACAAAUUCUAGAAUACUUACAUGCUGAUUUGUGGGGCCCUGCAUCCACCCCUACAUUGUCUGUUACAACUUAUUAAAAUUGAUAAUACCAACUCUAUCCCCUUAGAAACAGCAACUAAUGGGCCUGACCAGAAUGAAAGUAAGCAUAAUUUGGCUGAACCUCAACAGUAUGAUGACAUUAAUACACCUCUAGAUGAAUACCAGCUCACUAGAGACAGAGAUAGGAGGCAAAUUAAACCAUCUGCUACGUUCAGUAGUGAUGACUUUGACUUUGUGUCUUUGUUCACUUACUAAGACGAAACUGAAUCUGAACCUUAUUCCUAUCAUGAAGCCUUGAAAUCUAAAAAUUCUAAGUGGUGAUUGAGUACUAUGGAAGAAGAAAUGUCUUCCUUAUACAAGAACAAAACUUGUGAAUUGGUUGAUAGACCUAAGGAUAAGAAGUUAAUUGAUUGCAAUUGGAUUUAUAAGAUAAAGGAAGGGGAAUGUGUCACUAAUAAUGUUAGAUACAAAGCUAGACUUGUUGCCAGAGGUUUCACACAAAAAUAGUGACUAUGAUGAGAUUUUUUCCCCUGGUUAAAUACACAACAAUAAGAUGCAUUCUUGCUUUAGUUGUGGAAUUUAAAUAAAAACUUGAUCAAUUAGAUGUAAAAGCUGCAUUCCUUUAUGAUGAAUUGGAUGAAGUGAUUUACAUGAAAUAACAUUUAGGAUUUAUUAAAGAAAAUCCUGAAAAAACUAUGUGUUUGUUGAAAAAAAUCAUUGUAUGGCCUAAAACAAGCUCCAAGACAGUGGUAUAAAAGAUUCGACUCAUUUGUCUUAAGCUUGGGUUUAGUAGAAGCUAUUAUGAUACAUGUCUUUAUUAUAAAGGAAGUGGAGGUAAAGAUUCUUUGUAUCUUGUGCUUUAUGUUGAUGAUAUGCUUUUUGUUAAUGCCAAUAAAUCUGAAAUUGAUGAUAUCAAAUACAAAUUAAAAUCAGAAUUUAGUAUGAAGGAUCUUGGUUCCGCUAAGAAAAUACUUGACAUGCAAAUCAUAAGAGAUGAGAAAUCUGAUUCCUUGUUCUUAAGUAAACAAGAUUAUGUGAAUAAUAUCCUUAAGAGGUUUAAUAUGUUUGAUUGUAAACCUCUUUACACCUUGCUAAUCACUUUAUAUUAAUAUUUGAUUCGUGUCCUAAAACUGAAGAUGAAUUUGAAAGAAUGUCAAAAAUGCAUUAUGCUAAUAUUAUUGGUUCAAUCAUGUACUUAAUGAUUUGCACCAGACCUAAUUUAACUUUUAGUAUUAGUGUUUUGAGUAGAUUUAUGAAAAAUCCUGGUGAAGUUCAUUGGGAAGCAUUGAAGUGGUUAUUGAGAUAUUUAAAGGGUUCAUCUAACUUAGAAUUGAUGUUUAAAAUGAACAAAGAGGAGGUAAUUUUAAAGGGCUAUACAUAUUUUGAUUUUGUUGGAAAUAGAGAUAAUAGAAAAUCAACUUCAUCUUAUUUUCACACUUUGUGUGGUACUGUGAUAAGUUGAAAAUCUUAGUUACAAAAAAUUAUUACUCUAUCUAUCACGGAGGCUGAAUAUAUUGUAGCCAUUGAUGCCAUUAAAGAAGGUAUAUGGCUCCAUGGUUUGUUGGAUAACCUUGGUUUUGCGGACCCUAAUCCAAUACUAUAUCUCUGACAAUCAAAGGGUAAUCUAUCUGAGUAAGAAUUCCAUGUUCCAUGAUAGAAUAAAAUAUGUUGAUGUAAAGUACUACUUUAUAAGGGAUAUUAUCUCAAAAGGAUUGCUGAAAAUUAAUAAAAUAUCUACUUUAUAUAAUCCAUCAGAUAUGGAAACUAAGGUGAUAACUUUAAAUAAGUUUCAAAACUGUUUAAGGAUAUUAUCUAUUAAUUCUUUCCACUGAUUGUAUAGGUACCAUAAAGCAACUGACAUAAUAAAUGCUGGUAAAGCUCCUGACUGCACUAUAGCCUAAAAUUUGGAAGCAAGGUGGAGAUUGUUGAGACUUGAACACGUGACCUGCCAUUAAUAUAAGUGUGCUUCCAAAUAAUCUGUUGAAGUCGUGUUUUGAAAUAACAACUUUCUUAGUGGAGGCAUUCUUCUGGAUUUUGACACGUGGUGUCUUGAUGGCCGUCGAUUGGGUUCUAGAUGUUUCCAGCAAUAUAUUCUUGUGUGACUCUUUCACCGGACAGAAUUUUGGAGAGUUUAUUCUGGCUUUGAGGUCUGGCUCUGGAGAUCUCUCUUCUCUGUGAAGAACUCCUUCGUGAAUUGGGAUCCAAAAAUCUGAGUGUUCCAGUUCGUAAGUGUUGUGAAAACCUUUGUUACACUAUAGAUACUUGUAGUUGUGUGCUGUUCGAUGAUGGUGUUGUAUGAAUCUGUGUCAUUCGAUGAGAGCAGUGUUGGGUUUUUCAUAGACCUGUGCGAUUUGGGGCUGAUUCCUUAGUGCAUAGUGGUCAGCCUUGUGAUAUCUCUUAAAGAUAAGUCUCGUACUUGGUCUUUGUAAUUUCUGGAACAAUAUUGUAUAUUCUUGUAGCCGGUUUUUUGGCUUUAUAGUGCAACCAAACUUUAUCAAUUUUUAAUGGAUGUUCAACAAGGGAUUAGGCAUUAGAAGUAGUCGCCGAACCUCUGAGGCUUCAGUCGAAAAAAUCUCUAUGUUGAUUUUUACGUCUCUGCAUUAUUCUUUACUGCUUUUGCAUUUGUGGUUUUACGAAUCUUGGUUAAUUCCUUAAAUGCUCCUCGACUUUUCACAGAGAUUAAACCCUGUUGCUUGAUUGUCUUACUGAUUGCGGUGUUUAAAUGAUAAAAUAUAGAGUUCUUG